rnacentral:rRNA from 1 species
AGAGUUUGAUCCUGGCUCAGGAUGAACGCUAGCGGCAGGCUAAUACAUGCAAGUCGAGGGGUAACAGGGGAGCUUGCUCCUGCUGACGACCGGCAAACGGGUGAGGAACACGUACACAACCUUCCUUCUAGUGGAGGAUAGCCCAGGGAAACUUGGAUUAAUACUCCGUAAGAUGUUAGGGAGGCAUCUCCCAGACAUUAUAGUAGCGAUACGCUAGAAGACGGGUGUGCGUCUGAUUAGGUAGUUGGCGGGGUAACGGCCCACCAAGCCGACGAUCAGUAACUGGUGUGAGAGCACGACCAGUCACACGGGCACUGAGACACGGGCCCGACUCCUACGGGAGGCAGCAGUAAGGAAUAUUGGUCAAUGGACGAAAGUCUGAACCAGCCAUGCCGCGUGAAGGAUGAAGGUCCUCUGGAUUGUAAACUUCUUUUAUAUGGGACGAAAAAAGGGUUUUCUAACUCUACUGACGGUACCAUAUGAAUAAGCACCGGCUAACUCCGUGCCAGCAGCCGCGGUAAUACGGAGGGUGCAAGCGUUAUCCGGAUUUACUGGGUUUAAAGGGAGCGUAGGUGGGCUGUUAAGUCAGUGGUGAAAUCCCGGGGCUCAACCUCGGAACUGCCGUUGAUACUAUCAGUCUUGAAUAUUGUGGAGGCUAGCGGAAUAUGUCAUGUAGCGGUGAAAUGCUUAGAUAUGACAUAGAACACCGAUUGCGAAGGCAGCUGGCUACGCAUAUAUUGACACUGAGGCUCGAAAGCGUGGGUAGCAAACAGGAUUAGAUACCCUGGUAGUCCACGCCCUAAACGAUGGAUACUCGACAUUAGCGAUAUACUGUUAGUGUCUGAGCGAAAGCAUUAAGUAUCCCACCUGGGAAGUACGAUCGCAAGAUUGAAACUCAAAUGAAUUGACGG